AACAUCGCGCACCUGCGGGAACCUGCGGAAGGAUCAUUAAUGAUUGGUGGCUGUUGCUGACUAGUGUUUCUAGUAUGUGCACGCCACACCUUCAAUCCCAUUUACACCUGUGCACCUUCUGUAAUAGAUCUAUGUGGAUACGGAGAUAUGAAAGUUUGCGCUCUCGUACUCUGUUGAAGCAGUCUACUACGUUUUUUUACACACACACAAUAGUCAUUGAAUGUAUUUUUUAUUCUUAUG
rnacentral:misc_RNA from 1 species